UGAUCUGUAGGGAAAAAAAAAGAGGAUACAAAUUGUUUUACAAAAAUACUUUCAAAUGAACAGAAUUGUCACUUCCUUUUCUAAGAAAAUGGUGAAGAUGGAUCAAUCAAAAGUUGGCCCGAGAUCUUCACUUUCUGCUUGAACCUUGGAAAUCAGCUGUGUUUGAUUCUCCCCAUCUAUGCUAUCUAACAUGGAUGGCUACUGUUUUAAAUCCAUAUCACAGUUAAAUGCUCCCCAGUGCUUGCUGUUAGCAUGAAAAGGAAAUAGAAAUUACUUUUUAAUGUAAUUCCCAUAUACCUGUGACAGUAUUGAAAUGGCAAUAAAAAGGGAUAAGCACAAAAUUUCUAACUGCUUGUCAGUGUAGAAACAAAGUCAGAGAGGUUUUGUAAACCAUGAAGGCAUUUAAUACUAAGUCAGAUUUUUCCCCUCUGAAUUUGGUCUUUGGUUGUUUUGAUGGUUUCAGAAUUUGCUUCUAAUCAGAAAGAUUAUAAGUAGUACAGCUGAUGAUCAAAAACAUAGGCACAUGAAAAUCGCUGAGUAAAGGCAGGCAAACAACCUCCCCAGCUAGACCUGAACUAUGCUCAUCUGCUUCUGGUUUCACCAAUGUGUCACUGAAACCCUUAGAACCACCUUGCCUCUCUAAGCGGCUUUCCUGACAAAAUUUAUAGUAUAGCUAUAAGCAUGACACUUCCUGAAAAUAAAAGUGAAGGCAUAUUGUGCCUACUCUGUUCCUUUUAUUUUGAAAUAUCUAGAGGCUUUUCAAUAACAGAAUCAUUUACUACUGAAUUGAGUAAUUAAUUCUCCUAUUUUCUGAAGAUCAGGAACUAUUUAAAUGUCAUAGGGAAGGGAUGAAUUUAGUUAUAUAAAGACACUGUCAAAUGUAGGACAAAAUGAGAUUUUUCUUCCUGUAAAUAUAUUUCAGCUAUAGCAAUUAAAUAUUUUCUGCAGAAAAUGUUUCAGAUAGAAAUAUGUUCUUUUAGUUGACCAUAUGCCAUUAAUAAAUCUACUUGAAUUUCAAACCAGAGAGGGUAAGGCAUAGUCUGUGGCUUGAAUGGGGUAUCUGCAGUCCAUUACCAUUAGUGAGAUGAAAAAGAUGUAUGGGAGUAUAUACCAACUUCCUGGCACGGAAAGAAAGAGAAUUCUUGCUAUUUUUUAAUUUGUAUAGGAUUUUGCCAGAUAUCCUCCCUCUAUUUUUUGUAUGGAAUGUUGUCAUAUUAUAGCUAAGCAUUUUGAAAAUAUAAGAAAGAAAAAAUACACAGGGUAAUGAUUUCACCAUCAGUUAUUUCAGAUCUUGUAUUUGAACCCAAAUGUAUAUACUAGCCUAAAUAUAUACCAAUGGAAGUUAAUAAAUCACAGAUGGCACAAUGAAGAUGAAAACUGUAACUUCCAUCUCCAGAUGCACUCUACUCCCUAACGUAUAUGGUGAACUUUUUUAGCAGAUGUUUAUGUAAAAUAUAAUCUUACCAAACAAUACAGCACACAGCAAACAGAGACUGCUGUCUUACAACAGUCCCUUAAUCAUGUCUGUAAGAGAUUCACAUGGUGUUGUCAAGUGUUUUCACAUCAGGAGCCAUGGAGCUGGACUUGUGGACUAUUUCUGCACCUGCUGGAGACUUUGACCUUCUGCAGGACUGGUACUGAGGAGGAUUACACAGAACUUCAUCUGCUGCACCUUUCAGAAGGGAGCAGGGAGGAAGCUGGAUGACAGCUCUCCAGCUCUCCCACUCCUCAGGUCUGGGACUUCGGCUGUGUCCCCUGACAGCAGCUUGUUAUUUGGUUCCCAAGUUUUUUGCUCAGUUAUUCUCCCUAAUUCCACCCUGAAGAAGCACUCCAGGGGAGAGAAAGAAAAAUACAGGUAGGCAUCUUAAGUGAUUUCUUAGAUUCAGCCUCUUCAUAUAGUACUGUGGCUCUGUAUUUUAAAAAUGUAGCAAUUUCUAUGCUAUAUUGCAGUCACUUUAAAAAAUGUUCACCUUUCUCCCAGUAUGCCAUGGUUUUGGGAAACUAUGUACCACAAAACAUGGUUUUGUGUGUACAUAUGUACACACAACAAACACAGGUACCUGUGUUUGUUCCCAUUAAUAAAUAUUUAUUUCUUUGGAAGGUGAGUGGAAAAUAUAUUCUCUUCUAUGUGACCUCCACACAAUGAACUGCAGUCAGUGAUCAAAAAAUUACCACAGAUACAAAUGGUGAUUAAUACAGAGGUGAUAUUUAAGUUCACGUAUGAAAAGCUGCAAGUUUUAGAAGUGGGUGUAUUUAAAUCAUAAGAACUCAAGGAAAUGCAUUUAAUAUGUAUUUUAAAGUGAUUCUGUUAAUUGAAUCUCCUUUUUGCCAAACAUAACUUGUUAAAUUAGUUAUAUCCUGCUAUGUUUGCAUCUAUAUUGUGAUGCCAUUAAGGCACUGUAAUUUAGAUUACCAGUACAGCAGAGUCACACAAUUUGAUUAAUGAAAGGGAAAAAAAAAAAAAGGUGCAAGUUUGAAUUGGACCAUCUCUGAAUUUUCCAAAAGCCUCAGAACAAAGCUGUCAGCAAUAGCAGAAGUGUUGUCACUAGAAGUUAUUAACUAACAAAAUAGCAAGCAAUCAAUAGCCAGGGGUUUCCAUAGCAAAUGAGUAAAUCUGCUUGAGCACUGUAGCUGGGGGGAUAAAAACCCUCACAGGAUUCAAAAAAUCACUUGAGUAACAACAGCUUUUCUGGUCAGGAAUCUCCUCCUUUUAUUUUGACAGCUGUCAUGCACAGGAGAGGAUCCAAGGCUCUUUUAGCAGUUUGUCAGCUUCUCAACAACAGCAGGGUGGAAAAUCAGUUGUACUUAUAAAGACUGUUACUGGGAUGACAGCUGAACUUCCUUCAGCCCUGUGAUAAACCAACCUUCUGUACACUAACAUGAGGCUGGAGCAGUGGAGGAAAUUCAAUAAAUUUCAUUUCACAGCCCUAGGGGGCAGCAAGACAAAAUGAUUUUUAAAAAAUUUAAGAAUUUUCUACUUGCAGUGUAAGUAAUUGCAUUCUCUGUGAAAAGGUAAUCUGACAGCAAAAGACAUAACAAGGCAGAGAGGUGACACUUUGUUUCAAAGCUUCAGAUCCCACUGACCCUGAGAUAUCACUGUGGCCCAGGGGAAGAGACCAGGAGUCUGUGGUGAGAUGUGCCUGUCUGUGUGCUCCAGGUACAAAGAGAAAUGGGAUUUGAUAGGUCUGUAGUGGCAGCUGAAGUGUGCCAGGUACCACUCUGAUGGUUCCUGGGGGCAGACAGGAAGAGCUGCAGUGGACUGAGCCAUACCUGCAGCAUGCUGGUCACAAUGGAUGGGAGCUCUGGGAGCUCCAUGCAGAGCCCACUGCUGCCCUACAGCACAGUCCAGCAGAGCUGAAAAUUGUCUCUUCUUUGCAUAAAAUCUAAAGCAGUUAUGAGCAGAGAUGAACAGCUGACUGGUGGUGUUGCUGUCCUUAAUGCUGCAUAAACCUUCCCAGUGUAAUGUAAAUCACACACUCUGAUUUUAUGGGAUUUCUAUUUGUAACCACGGUGCAACUCUGAAGUGCAUUAUGUGAAAUGAGAUGUUGUAGCUGAUUUAUUCUGUCAUGGCUGAUUUAGAUAAGACAAUUGGGCUAUUUUGGAAUUUCUCAGUCUCCUAGAAGUCACAGGUACUUUUCAAGGUAUUUCCAAGAACUCUUGCUUGUUCCUAAUUUUAAAUAUCCCAGACCCUUUGUCACUCCCAAGCAGUAGGUCUGCCUUGCUUGACUGCUCUGGGAUUACUUACUGCCAGUUCAGUGCCUUUCACUGCUGUAUUUUCAGGAGUUUAUUGCUGAUUAAUCAAAUUCAAAGUCCUUAGGUCAGUAAGUUUAAAUGUUAUAGCAAGAGCACAGGUUUAUGUCUCAGGGAACUCAGUGAAUUUCUGCAAGGGAUGGGUCCAGAACAGGAUCUUUAGCUAAGCUCUUUUAACUAAGUUCUGAUGCCAGAUAAACUAGUAAGUGAUAGAAAAUAUAUUAAGUAAUGCUAUAGAUAUAAUGCAAAGCUCUCAUUUCCCAUUUUUAACUAUAUCUCUUGUCAACAUUUAGGAAAAUAAUUGCUAUUUCUUACAAUGUAGCACCAAAACAGUAUUUUUAGUUGAGAUUGCUUAAAACAUAAUUACUGAAUUAUAAAUACUGGCUCUGUCUUGUUAGGUAAUUCAUAAGCACCUUCAGGGAUAUUCAGACUAAUACUGAACCCCUUUGGACUUCAAGAUUGAACUGAAUGAGGCAAGACUGCAAGAAUUUACUGUAGUACACAUGGUGAAAGAUUUCAAGUUAUGUUCAUAAAUCCAUCCUAAGUGGAAUUUUGUUCUGGAUAUCUGUGAUCGGUAGAUAAUUCCAUUAUCUGGAAGACUUCUAGUUCAUACAGUUUUAUUCUUUUUCAAAGAGGCACUGCACAGAAGUUUGUAUUAGCUGUGUUCAUUUGUGGACAGUAACUUACCUGACUGCAAAUAACAACUAGCAUGGGCAAACCCAUAGAAACUUAUUUAAAGAAUCUUGCCAUUUUUCUUUUUUUUUUUAAUUGGCCAAUAUGAAAGAAAAGUUGUCAAAUAGUCUCAUAUAUAUUGGUUACUUGUAUUAGUCACAAAUUUAUAUAUAAAGCUGAGUUCAGGCUUUACUUUAUUAGUUGUGAGUAUACUAGUUAGUUGAUGUCUCUUUUCUGAUUUAAUAAAUACAACUGAUUAAACUGAAUAUCUACAGCAGUUCAAGUACUUUGAAUAUUGACAGAGUACCAUUCUUGGAAGUGAUUAAUGACCAGUUGUCAAUGUAUCUAUGUAUCUACUAUGAGAGUACUUUUAUGCUAUUCUGCCCUUGUUGCAUAAAGAAGAGCUGAGAGGGGAGUAAGGGCAGUAAAACCUUUCCAUCCUCUCAUUUUUCCUUCCCCAACUUACAGCUGCUGUCCUGUCCACCUCACAGCGACUGCUCAGGAUGAAACAGGCUUCAGCAUUGUCCAUCCUGGAAGAGAGGAGACAAACCUGUCACAGCUCAAGCAGAGAGCAUCUCUUAGAAGUGGUGGAAGUAUGUGCUAAGAGGAGGGCCCUGAAGAGUUCAGGGAGGUUUGCUGCCGUGGCCAAGAAAAGUGCACAUACAGCUUUCUGUAAAUCUGUCUCUGUGUUGGUCUCUGGCCCUUUCUGUGGCAAAGUUACUGAUGUGAACCAGUUCUGAGGGCACACCUUGCACAUUGGGAGGCUUCUGUUGUACAAGUGGGUACUGACUGUCUGGAAUGAAGUGAACGUGGGAACUGCAGACUACUGAAUUAUCAGAGGAAAGAGCAUCCAGGUCAGCCUUCAGAAUCACAAUAGGGAAGGGCAAGAUUUGGAUUAAUUCAACAAGCUUUGAAUCAAACUUUUCGGUUCUUUGUGACUUGGAACACAAGCUAAGUGCAAUGAAUUUACUUUCACUACACAACAAUGCCACCAUGUCAGAAAUUAAUUUGGACCCUUUCUUCAGAUGGAAAGGUCAUUUUUGUUUGUUCCAAUUUUAUCUUUAUCCCAAAUAAUGAUGUUUGAUGACAUGAUUAUUACUUACCCAUGGUGUCCUUCAUAAGCAUUUUCCUUCCCCAAAGAUCAGAACAUUAUAUGCAGCUAAUGGUUGCAAAAGCUUAACUUAUAAAAAUAAACUCUCCUCCUAGGAACACAUGUGACUUCCAGCAACUGCAGAACAUCUUGUUAAGCAGAAUAGGGUAUUAUGAAAUGACCAAGUGUAUAUAAAUAUUUGUUGAAUCUGAGUGAGAACCUUUCUACUCCUGUGCUGCCUUUAGUGGGAUCAGAAGUGGAGCUGCAAUUACAGAGCUCUGGUCAUUGAGACUGCACAAGCAGGGUCCCUCUGUGGGCAGCCUUCAGCUCAGUGUGUUUCCACAGGCAGGUCUGUCCACACUUCAGCCUCUAAGCUCAAAGGAGCACCUGUAUUUGAGUGUGCUUUCAGUCUGCCCCAGAGCUUUGAUGGUAAACAAACUAAAUUUUGGC